AGUGAACGCUGGCGGUAGGCCUAACACAUGCACGUCGAACGGCAGCACAGGAGAGCUUGCUCUCUGGGUGGCGAGUGGCGGACGGGUGAGGAAUACAUCGGAAUCUACUCUGUCGUGGGGGAUAACGUAGGGAAACUUACGCUAAUACCGCAUACGACCUACGGGUGAAAGAAGGGGACCUUCGGGCCUUGCGCGAUUGACUGAGCCGAUGCCGGAUACGCCAGUUGGCGGGGUAAAGGCCCACCAAGGCGACGAUCCGUAGCUGGUCUGAGAGGAUGAUCAGCCACACUGGAACUGAGACACGGUCCAGACUCCUACGGGAGGCAGCAGUGGGGAAUAUUGGACAAUGGGCGCAAGCCUGAUCCAGCCAUACCGCGUGGGUGAAGAAGGCCUUCGGGUUGUAAAGCCCUUUUGUUGGGAAAGAAAUCCAGCUGGCUAAUACCCGGUUGGGAUGACGGUACCCAAAGAAUAAGCACCGGCUAACUUCGUGCCAGCAGCCGCCGCAG
rnacentral:rRNA from 1 species